rnacentral:lncRNA from 1 species
UAAAUUGAUAAUUUUACAUUUCCUAACAGUUUAAUUUUAUAUAUAGGAAUAAAACCAAUAAAAUUUCUCAACAAUACAUCCAUCAAUAGAUACCCAAAUUCAACCAAAUACAUUUCUAAAUAAAUUGUACCCUUACAAACUUUUCCCACACUAUUUCUCAAAAACAUAUCUAGAGACAUUGUUUCUAGUUUUUUUUUUUAACCAAAAUAUUUCCAAUACUCACAAACCUUUCCAAAAUAUGAAAUAAAAGCUUUCACUGCCUUCGAUCAUCCCUAUCGAUUUCUGUCAAACAAGCAAACCCAAAAACCCACCUCAAUCAUCCUUCUUUCCUGUUAAGAACCAAAACCAAACACUCCAAUGAUUUCUAUCAAAACAAACUAAAAUCCAUGUCGAUGAUCGAGAUGAUUCUGCUAAUCAAUUAGAUUCUAUAUGUUUAAUUGAAAACAUAUUUUUCUCAAAUUCUAUGCAUCUGUUUAGAUCGAUGUGUUUCUCUCUUCUGGAAAAUACCUUUUUUUUCUUAGUAUAUAGUUAAUUACAGGAUGGCUUACCAACGCAUUGCAUUUCAUUGGAUUGCUUUAGGGUCUAAUGGUCCUGUCUUCACUGCUAACGCUGCUUGCAGUGUCAGGAGCUCACGCCUCGCAGCCGGAAGAGACAAGGAAGACUUCGCUGCUUCUUCACGCUCUCCAUCUCUUCGGACCCCA